GUGAAAACUACACAAGUUCUAGUAACAAUCUGCUUGACACUCCAACAUAGUAGAUGGCAGUAUUGCACCUUAAUGCUGGUUGCCACCCAUCAUAAAACAGACAAAAAUUAACUUUUUGUAUGCUUUUGUGCAGUUAUGGUUACAAACUCACUCUCUGCCUUCCUACACUCGUAUUUAAAGUGUGAUAAAAAGAUGAAUUUGAGUGACAUUGUUUUUCCAAACUUCUAUAGAUAUAGCAAUAAUAUUAUUGUGUAGUCUUUUGGCCAUGUUCAUCAUGCAGUGAAAACAUGACACCAUGACACCUUCCUCUUCUGCUGGUAAAAUAGUCAUACGAUAACUAAUAUCAUCACUGCAACACACAAACACACGCAGCAUUAGCUCCUGCUCUGGUUUUGGUUUGCACAGAACAGUGCAAGUUUUUUGGAAUGAAGCUCAGUUUGUUUGCUUUUCCCAAUCAUUUAAUACCUCCAGACACAACGAGAAUAUCAUGUCAUUGCAUCUUGUUAAUUGAGGUGUGUUUUUUUUGUCUCUAGUUGGACUUGCCUCUAGGUUUUCCAUUCUAUAAGUGGAUGCUGAGGCACGAGUCCUCCGUCAGCUCUCAUGACCUGGUCAACAUUGAUCCUGGUGUCGCCAAAUCCAUCCAGCACCUGGAGGACAUCAUCCGCCAGAAGAAGAGAAUAGAGCAGGACCGAUCACACGUGAGCACUGGCCGCUAACUACAUGACACAUGGAGACAUGAAACAUUCAAAACCAACCAACACCUGGACUGUUUUUUUGUAUUGUAACUGUCUGUAUUUGUCAGACACGGGAGACCCUACAGCAGGCCUUGGAGAGUCUCAACAUGAACGGCUGCUCGGUGGAAGAUCUGGGCCUGGACUUCACUCUGCCUGGAUUCCCAAACAUCGAGUUGAAGAAAGGGGGCAAAGACGUGCCAGUCACCAUUCACAACCUGGAGGAAUACCUCAGAUUGGUGGUCUACUGGACACUCAAUGAGGGCGUCUCUCGGCAGUUUGAGUCGUUUAGGGAAGGAUUUGAGUCUGUCUUCCCUCUGCAUCACCUGCAGUACUUCUAUCCUGAAGAGGUGAGC
rnacentral:lncRNA from 1 species